UGGUGAUGAGGAUAAAACAUGAGAACUUAAAUGAUCCCAUGUGAUUGUAUAUUAUACGCUAUACUGAACCAAUC
rnacentral:snoRNA from 1 species